rnacentral:rRNA from 1 species
AAUCAACGCUGGCGGCGUGCCUAACACAUGCAAGUCGAACGCGAAAGUCCCGCAAGGGAUGAGUAGAGUGGCAAACGGGUGAGUAACGCGUGGGUGACCUGCCUUCGAGCGGGGGAUAACGUUUCGAAAGGAACGCUAAUACCGCAUGACAUCCUGCCUUUGAACAGGCAGCGAUCAAAGCCGGGGAUCGCAAGACCUGGCACUCGGAGAGGGGCCCGCGUCCGAUUAGCUAGUUGGUGGGGUAACGGCUCACCAAGGCGACGAUCGGUAGCCGGCC